rnacentral:rRNA from 1 species
AUUGAACGCUGGCGGCAGGCCUAACACAUGCAAGUCGAGCGAGCGGCGGACGGGUGAGUAAUGUAUGGGGACUGCCCGAUAGAGGGGGAUAACUACUGGAAACGGUGGCUACUACCGCAUACUAUCGGAUAACCCAUAUGGGAUUAGCUAGUAGGUGGGGUAAAGGCUCACCUAGGCGACGAUGUCUAGCUGGUCUGAGAGGAUGAGCAGCCACACGGGGACUGAGACACGUCCCAGACUCCUACGGAGGAAGCAGUGGGGAAUAUUGCAGAAGGUGCGCAAGCCUGAUGCAGCCAUGCCGCGGGUAUGAAGAAGGCCUUAGGGUUGUAAAGUACUUUCAGCGGGGAGGCGUUACCCGAAGAAGAAGCACCGGCUAACUCCGUGCCAGCAGCCGCGGUAAUUC